CCACCGCGGCUAUACGAGAGACCCGAGUUGAUACCAUUCGGCGUAAAGAGUGGUUAUGGAAAAUAAAAACUAAAGCCGCACACCUUCAAAGCUGUUAUACGCACCCGAAGGCAAGAAGACCAACCACGAAGGUAGCUUUACAACCCCUGACCCCACGAAAGCUCUGGCACAAACUGGGAUUAGAUACCCCACUAUGCCUAGCCCUAAACCUUGGCAAUAUAUCACAUACCCUGCCCGCCUGGGAACUACGAGCAUCAGCUUAAAACCCAAAGGACUUGGCGGUGCUUUAGACCCCCCUAGAGGAGCCUGUUCUAGAACCGAUAACCCCCGUUCAACCUCACCCUUCCUUGUUUAUCCCGCCUAUAUACCGCCGUCGUCAGCUUACCCUGUGAAGGCCUAAAAGUAAGCACAACUGGCAAAACCCAAAACGUCAGGUCGAGGUGUAGCGCAUGGAGGGGGAAGAAAUGGGCUACAUUCCCUACAAUAGGGAACACGAAUGGUGCACUGAAAUACGCACCUGAAGGAGGAUUUAGUAGUAAGCGGGAAAUAGCGUGUUCCGCUGAAAUCGGCCCUGAAGCGCGCACACACCGCCCGUCACUCUCCCCAAGCUUACCACUUUUAAUAAUUAAAAACCCAAAAAUCGCGGAGGGGAGGCAAGUCGUAACAUGGUAAGGG
rnacentral:rRNA from 1 species